rnacentral:rRNA from 1 species
AUUGAACGCUGGCGGCAUGCUUUACACAUGCAAGUCGAACGGCAGCACGGGUGCUUGCACCUGGUGGCGAGUGGCGAACGGGUGAGUAAUAUAUCGGAACAUGUCCGGAAGUGGGGGAUAACGUACCGAAAGGUACGCUAAUACCGCAUAUGCCCUGAGGGGGAAAGGGGGGGAUCGCAAGACCUCUCGCUUUCGGAGUGGCCGAUAUCGGAUUAGCUAGUAGGUGAGGUAAAGGCUCACCUAGGCGACGAUCCGUAGCUGGUCUGAGAGGACGACCGGCCACACUGGGACUGAGCAACGGCCCAGACUCCUACGGGAGGCAGCAGUGGGGAAUUUUGGACAAUGGGCGCAAGCCUGAUCCAGCCAUGCCGCGUGAGUGAAGAAGGCCUUCGGGUUGUAAAGCUCUUUCAGCUGGAAAGAAAGCGUACUUAUUAAUACUAGGUGCGGAUGACGGUACCAGCAGAAGAAGCACCGGCUAACUACGUGCCAGCAGCCGCAGUAA